rnacentral:rRNA from 1 species
UGUAUAAAUAGUAUACAGUGUAACUGCGAAUGGCUCAUUAAAACAGUUAUAGUUUAUUUGAUAAUUGAAUACUACAUGGAUAACCGUAGUAAUUAUAGAGCUAAUACAUGCUGCUACCCCGACUUUAUGGAAGGGGUGUAUUUAUUAGAUAGAAACCAAUAUUCUUAACGGAGUAUUGUGAGGAAUCAUGAUAACUGAUCGAACCCGGGCUCCGGGUACAUCAUUCUAGUUUCUGCCCUAUCAGCUUUCGAUGGUAAUGUAUUGGAUUACCAUGGCAAUAACGGGUAACGGAGAAUUAGGGUUCGAUUCCGGAGAGGGAGCCUGAGAAAUGGCUACCACUUCUAUGGAAGGCAGCAGGCGCGUAAAUUACCCAAUCCUGACUCAGGGAGGUAGUGACAAGAAAUAACAACUCGGGGACACUCGUCUUACGAGAUUGGAAUGAGAACAAUUUAAAGCACUUAGCGAGGAACAAUUGGAGGGCAAGUCUGGUGCCAGCAGCCGCGGUAAUUCCAGCUCCAAUAGCGUAUAUUAAAGUUGUUGCAGUUAAAAAGCUCGUAGUUGAACCUCUGGCGGAGCGGUGUUUGGCUUCUGUCGGGCAGCGUUGCGCCAUCCACUCGAGAGCCGUUCGCGGUAUUAAGUUAUCGGUGCGGGAAUCGGGUACUUUACCUUGAAUAAAUUAGAGUGCUUCAGGCAGGCAAUCGCCAUGAAUACUCAAACAUGGAAUAAUGGAAUAGGACUGCGAUCCUUUUUGUUGGUUAUGGGAUCAUAGUAAUGAUUAACAGGGACAGUUGGGGGCAUUAGUAUUUAAUUGUCAGAGGUGAAAUUCUUGGAUUUAUUAAAGACUAACUUAUGCGAAAGCAUUUGCCAAGGAUGUUUUCAUUAAUCAAGAACGAAAGUAAGGGGAUCAAAGGAAAUUAGAGACUUCUGUAGUCCUUACUAUAAACGAUGCCGACUAGGGAUCGGUGGGGUUAAUUUGGCCCCAUCGGCACCUUAGAGAAAUCAAAGUCUUUGGGUUCUGGGGGGAGUAUUGUUGCAAAGCAGAAACUUGAAGGAAUUGACGGAAGGGCACACCAGGAGUGGAGCCUGCGGCUUAAUUUGACCCAACACGGGGAAACUUACCAGGUCAAAACAUGGAUGGGAUUGACAGAUUGAGAGCUCUUUCUUGAUUCUAUGGGUGGUGGUGCAUGGCCGUUCGUAGUUGGUGGAGUGAUUUGUCUGGUUAAUUCCGUUAACGAACGAGACCUCAACCUGCUAACUAGUCCGGCCUUUAAUCAAAGGCCGCGGCUUCUUAGAGGGACCAUGCGUAUAAACGCAAGGAAGUUUGAGGCAAUAACAGGUCUGUGAUGCCCUUAGAUGUCCUGGGCCGCACGCGCGCUACAAUGAUACGUUCAGCAAGUUCUAUCCUGACCCGGAAGGGUUCGGGUAAUCUUUUCAGUGCGUAUCGUGCUAGGGACAGAUCUUUGCAAUUAUAGAUCUCGAACUA